CGCUCCUGCCCCAGGCCUGGUGCUUCCCAGGUUCAUUGUAUGUGAGCCUACUGGUCCUCUUCCCACCGCACACAGGAGAGGGCUUCCUUCAAGGCAGCGGCUGCAGCCCAUUGCCCCCCAGUGCCUCCCUCAGUGCCUGGACACGGAUGGUGCAUGCAGAGACAAACGGACAUUGGUUCUCUCAGAGACUUACAUAGUGUUGGUUCAAGACUCCCACUGCUGUAGGAGAAGGACAAGGACACAGAGAGAACAGACUUCAAACUCCAGCCCUGCCCUUUCCCUCCAUGUCACCUGGACUAGGCAUUUAACGUCUUUGUGCCUUCACUCCUUCAUCUGUAAAAUGAGGUUAAUUAUACCUACUUCACUGGGUUGAAAUGAGAAAGAGUUGGGAUAACCUAUAAGAAAGUGCCCAGUCCACAGAGGCUACCUAACAACUGUUAUUUUCCCUUUCCUCUCCAGGAACUGGUGGGCAUUUUUGUCAGUCAAAGAGGACACAGAGGACAGUCCUCAAUUCCCAGAGUCCACCUAUCUGCUUUCUCUUGGCUUUUUCAGCCUUUCACCCCUCCUUCCUAGCUGCAGACUCCAGUGUGUGGGGUAAAGCCACGAACGGAAGGCACAAUUUGGACUCAGACUAUUUUAGUUAUUGUCUGACCAGAGAGAAAUUACUUAAUCUCUGUAGACCUCAGUUUUCUUUUCUGUAAAAUGGGAUAACAACAACAAUAAUAAUAACACCAUCUCACAGUUUUGUCAUGGGAAAUUAGUGAUACAACACACAUAGAGCGCUUAGUACUGUCUGACACAGAAGGGCUCAGUAUAUAUUUAGUGGUUACUAUUAUUAGGAAAGGGAGGCAAGAGCGCUGUGAAGUCCUAACUGAGCUGUCAAUAUUUGGGGGCAUAACCAAGAAAACAAAAGAUAUCCCUCUCUCACUGAUCUUUCUUUUCAUGUUGCCUCCCAGGGCAUUGGGGUUUCCAUUUCAUCACCUGACAGAGAGUGACUUAAACGCCUGCUAUCCUCUAGUAAAUUUUCAUUGUGCUAUGCAGCUUAAUGCAAUUAAUUAUAGGGUUUACUAUAAUUAUACUUAGGCAAUUAAUUUAAUAAUCCCCAACUCAAUUUAAAUUGUCCCUUUUUUGUAUAGAGCGUGUACCUCCUCAUCCAAGCCAUAGGUUUAGGCUUCCAGGAGAACACUCAGCUCUCUGCCUCUCUUCAGUGUUUUGGAAAACAGGAGGGGAGAGCCUUCAAGGUGUUAUUGGGUCAACUCCCUUCUUGGAUAAUUCCAACUUGAGGCUGCAAAGUAGCCUGUGUUUCUGACUGUAUUCUUGUCUGGGUUUUUCUACCUUUGGAAAACGACAGAGGGCCAAGUCCUAGGG
rnacentral:lncRNA from 1 species